rnacentral:misc_RNA from 1 species
GUAGGUGAACCUGCGGAAGGAUCAUUAUUGAAAUAAACCUGAUGGGUUGUUGCUGGUUCUCUAGGGAGCAUGUGCACACUUGUCAUCUUUAUAUCUCCACCUGUGCACCUUUUGUAGAUCUGGAUAGCUUUCUGAAUGCCUAGCAUUUGGGUUUAAAGAUUGACUUUUCUAGUCUUUCUUUAUUUUUCAGGUCUAUGUUUCUUCAUAUACCCCAAUGUAUGUUAUAGAAUGUAAUGAAUGGGCCUUUGUGCCUAUAAACCUAUACAACUUUCAGCAACGGAUCUCUUGGUUCUC